GGAGUUUGGACCGUGUCUCAGUUCCAAUGUGGGGGACCUUCCUCUCAGAACCCCUACUGAUCGUCGGCUCGGUGGGCCGUUACCCCGCCGACUACCUAAUCAGACGCAUCCCCAUCCCUUAGCGGUAAACCUUUGAUCCAUUUCAGAUGCCAUCAACGAAUAACAUAGAGUAUUAAUCCGACUUUCGCCGGGCUAUCCUCUACUAAGGGGAAGGUUGGAUACGCGUUACUCACCCGUGCGCCGGUCGCCGACAAAGAAAGCAAGCUUUCUUCUCGCUGCCCCUCGACUUGCAUGUGUUAAGCCUGUAGCUAGCGUUCAUC
rnacentral:rRNA from 1 species